rnacentral:ncRNA from 1 species
AAAUUAUACGAAGGGACCCAACACAGAAAAUUCAAAUUAUUGAAUUAAACAUUUAUGUGCAAGUUUGGCAAAGUGUCUUAUUUUUUAAAAGUAUGUAAAAGUAAAAUUACAUGUUAAUACGUAGUAUUAAUGGCGAGACUCCUGAGGGAACAGUGCCAGUCGAAGACCGAGGCUGAGACGGCACCCUAGGAAAGCGAAGCCAUUCAAUACGAAGUAUUGUAUAAAUAGAGAACAGCAG